UACUUUUUUUGGUUUUUCUGGAGUUAAUAAUGGUUUCUAUUCAAACCCACAAGUUUUAGUAAAAGUGUUCAAUGUUUACUGGAAUUUCUGAGUCAGGCUUAAAAAGGGGGAGUAGCAUAACCAGGGUAGACUUUGGGGGCAGUCAGCCGUGGUUGGAAAGAUCAUUUUAUCACUGACAUCAUUUAGAAUUAUUCUUAGAAUUAGAUAAUAAAAAGCCCAUUGACUUUUAGUUAGUUAUAUUGUUCUUAAAAUGCAGACAUUGCAUCCACUUAUUGCCUAUACUUGGGCACACUGCUCCUGCCAACCUGCCCUUGGUAAGGCUCUGAGUUAAGCUUAGAAAGGCAGAGGGAGGUACUCUGAGAAGGGAGGAAGGUAUUCCAAGCAGACAGGACAGUGUGACUAAAAAGGCAAGAAGGUGAGAAAGAGCAUGGUGUGUUUGUGAAAUUACAGACAGUGUGGUGUUGGUAGAGCAUAAAGUACGUGAUAGGAACCAGCUGAGAUGAGGCAGUGAUGUUGGCAGUGGUCGGAUCAAGGUGAUCUUUUUGUUAUAGACCCAAAGGCCACAAAUUCUGUCUUGUAGGUCAUGGGGAACCUUAUGGUGUUGAAUAAUAUGGUCUGUUUUGCUUGUGAAUGAACUAAUGGUAUACUGGAUAAAAAAAUGGAAAACUCUCCUUAAGUCAGCAAUUAAAAUCCAUAUUUGGUGACAUGUUAGUACUUUAGGGGUACCCCACCAGUGAAGUUUUUAGAGCACACAGUCCUUUAGAAUGUGUGCAUGCACGCAUGCACAUGUAUUCACAAUUCAUGUACAUGUGUUGUAUUGGACCUAACGCUCAGCCUGCAGUAAACACUAAGGGCGAGGUUCAGUUUAAAUGACAGUUGAAGUAAUAGUAGUGGUCGUACAUCAGGGUUCCCUGGAGACCAACUCUGACAUGUAGAGUUGCACGCAUUGGGUUUAUUGGGAUGGCUCUUGGAGACAACAGCCAUGAAGGGCUGAGGAGCCUAAGGACUAAGGACUGUGAUGCAGCUGAGGCUUCAGCUAGCCUAUGCAUAACUCUGGAACUGGAUGGCUCCUCAGAGAUGUCCUGAACUGAGGCAAGUGGGCCAGGCCUUUCCAACGCUCUUGGAAGCUGGGAAAUCAAUGCCCCUAAGAAAAUCCCAUGGAUGGAGGAGCCUGGUGGGCUGCAGUCCGUGGGGUGGCUGAGAAUCAGACACGACUGAGUGACUUCACUUUCACUUUUCACUUUCAUGCAUUGGAGAAGGAAAUGGCAACCCACUCCAGUAUUCUUGCCUGGAGAAUCUCAGGGACGGCAGAGCCUAGUGGGCUGCCGUUUCUGGGGUAGCACAGAGUCGGACACGACUGAAGCGACUUAGCAACAGUAGCAGCAGCAAGUAGCAUACUACAGUAUCCACUAAACGCAACCUUCUGAGACUCUACUUUUUUGAAUUCCUAUAGAUUUUCCUUGAAAUAUGGCUGAC
ensembl:lncRNA